GUCUACAGCCAUGCCACCCUGAACAAGCCCGAUAUCAUCUGAUCUCUGAAGCUAAGCUGGGUCGGGCCUGGUUAGUAUUUGGAUGGGAGACCACCUAGGAAGACCAGCUCCUCUAGGUG
rnacentral:rRNA from 1 species